rnacentral:rRNA from 1 species
UACGUAGGGGGCAAGCGUUAUCCGGAAUUACUGGGUGUAAAGGGAGCGUAGACGGCAUUGCAAGUCCGGAGUGAAAACCCAUGGCUCAACUAUGGGAUGGCUCUGGAGACUGUAAGGCUAGAGUACCGGAGAGGUAAGCGGAAUUCCUGGUGUAGCGGUGAAAUGCGUAGAUAUCAGGAGGAACACCAGUGGCGAAGGCGGCUUACUGGACGGAAACUGACGUUGAGGCUCGAAAGCGUGGGGAGCAAACA